rnacentral:rRNA from 1 species
GACGAACGCUGGCGGCGUGCCUAAUACAUGCGAGUAGAACGCUGAAGGAGGAGCUUGCUUCUCUGGAUGAGUUGCGAACGGGUGAGUAACGCGUAGGUAACCUGCCUGGUAGCGGGGGAUAACUAUUGGAAACGAUAGCUAAUACCGCAUAAUAGUAGAUGUUGCAUGACAUUUGCUUAAAAGGUGCAAUUGCAUCACUACCAGAUGGACCUGCGUUGUAUUAGCUAGUUGGUGAGGUAACGGCUCACCAAGGCAACGAUACAUAGCCGACCUGAGAGGGUGAUCGGCCACACUGGGACUGAGACACGGCCCAGACUCCUACGGGAGGCAGCAGUAGGGAAUCUUCGGCAAUGGACGGAAGUCUGACCGAGCAACGCCGCGUGAGUGAAGAAGGUUUUCGGAUCGUAAAGCUCUGUUGUAAGAGAAGAACGAGUGUGAGAGUGGAAAGUUCACACUGUGACGGUAUCUUAACAGAAAGGGACGGCUAACUACGUG